AUAUCUUUCUGUACGGGAAGGAUGAGAAGCUUCGACUAAGGUUCGAUUCGAGCGCAGCGAGAAAGCGUUGCCGCAGGCAACGACCCGAAGGGCGAAGCGCGCAGCGCU
rnacentral:sRNA from 1 species